rnacentral:tRNA from 1 species
GCGGGCGUGGCGGAAUUGGCAGACGCGCCAGAUUUAGGUUCUGGUGGGAUAUCCCGUGGAGGUUCGAGUCCUCUCGCCCGCA